rnacentral:rRNA from 1 species
GUGUCAGCAGCCGCGGUAAUACGAACUGUGCGAACGUUAUCCGGAUUCACUGGGUUUAAAGGGUGCGUAGGCGGGCAUUUAAGUCAGUGGUGAAAUACCUGAGCUUAACUUGGGAACUGCCAUUGAUACUAUUUGUCUUGAAUGUCGUGGAGGUUAGCGGAAUAUGUCAUGUAGCGGUGAAAUGCUUAGAUAUGACAUAGAACACCUAUUGCGAAGGCAGCUAACUACGCGAAUAUUGACACUGAGGCACGAAAGCGUGGGGAUCAAACAGGAUUAGAAACCCCUGUAGUCC